AGAUUUGUUUCCAGACACCAAAAAUAGUAUCACUUAACGUUUCUUGACCCUCACCUAUCUUCUGAAAAGUAUUUUACAUAAGUGCACUACCUCUCAACAUAACUUGUUGUCUUUUGAAGGACAUGAGAGUACCCUAAGUUCCUUGCUUCUGGAACAUUUCUUGGUCAGUCAAGAUCUGAGAUAUUAUUCUUUCUAGGACAAGUAAUUCCUGUAUCAGAGACUCAUUUCUGAAACAAGGACUAAAAGCACCAAGACAUCAUCCUACUAACGCAGAGCAAUUGUAUGGAGUCACCAGGAAGAUUUUUUAAUCAAAAUUUGAAUGUCACUCUGGUUAUAAAAGAAGUGAGACUACUAGGUAGGUCUUCAGUUCAAUGGAAAUGAAUUAGAGAUGUAAUUUAAACUUAUAGUUAAGGUGUGGCUUGAGUAGAAUCAUUGAGGUGGAAAAGAACACUAAGAUAAUCUUAUCCUACUGUUAACCCAUGAUAUGCCAUAUCAUAUUGAUAAGAAAGUGAAGAGGAAUGAGAAAAGACUGAAGGUUAGAUUCUGAGAAGUUGUUUACAAUAAUUUAUUUAGGGUGCUCAAUUUGUGUUAUUUGCUCAUAUUACAUGCUUUUGUUGUUAUGCAACUUAGAAUAUAAAAAAUAUCAUGAAGGUAGAGAAAGUGCAGAACUAAAUAUUCAGGAAAAGUAUUCAGUAUGUAAGAGAAAGUGGGAAUUGUUUUCUUAUAAUAAAUUAAGUAGAGGUUAAAAAAAAAUUGUAAACUAGAAUACACUGCUUU
rnacentral:lncRNA from 7 species